rnacentral:misc_RNA from 1 species
GGAAUAUGGAGGCCUAUAUGGGUCAAAGGAAGGGAGGCCUUGUUUCCCUUUGUCAAGAUCUCUCCCUGUUCAGAAGGAAGGGAGCAUGAUAUGAAAAAUAAUCCCUCUUUACUCUCUGUAUUUUGGAACUAACAUUUUACGAACCCUAGCCCUGACCUAUCAGUGUGUAAACUAACAUUCAGGAGCUCUAAAUCUACGACACUUACAGUAAGAAGCUAGGCCAUGCUAGGACAUAAAAACAUGGUUAAGUUAUAAUUUUGGCAGAAGUAUAAAGAAUAAAACUUCACAAUUGCAAAAAGCAAGAUUUGGAGAUGAUAAAUUUAAAAACAUAAGCAAUUGGUUUUUCUGGUAGAUGAUAUUUUGAGAUGAUUUAGAGGAUGUACACACCUUUGAUUCCUUACAGAAG